rnacentral:rRNA from 1 species
UACGUAGGGUGCAAGCGUUAAUCGGAAUUACUGGGCGUAAAGGGUGCGUAGGCGGUUGUUUAAGUCUGUCGUGAAAUCCCCGGGCUCAACCUGGGAAUGGCAAUGGAUACUGGCAGGCUAGAGUGUGUCAGAGGAUGGUGGAAUUCCCGGUGUAGCGGUGAAAUGCGUAGAGAUCGGGAGGAACAUCAGUGGCGAAGGCGGCCAUCUGGGACAACACUGACGCUGAGGCACGAAAGCGUGGGGAGCAAACAGG